UACGGGGGGGGCAAGCGUUGUUCGGAAUUACUGGGCGUAAAGGGCUCGUAGGUGGCCAACUAAGUCAUACGUGAAAUCCCUCAGCUUAACUGGGGAACUGCGUCUGAUACUGGAUGGCUUGAGUUUGGGAGAGGGAUGCGGAAUUCCAGGUGUAGCGGUGAAAUGCGUAGAUAUCUGGAGGAACACCAGCGGCGAAGGCGGCAAACUGGAUAGGCACUGACACUGAAGCACGAAAGCGUGGGGAGCAAACAGG
rnacentral:rRNA from 1 species